rnacentral:lncRNA from 1 species
CACUUCCAAAUGAAAACUUUUAUAAUUUUUAGAUAAAAAAAAUUUAAUUUAUUUGGACCCGGACUCGGCCUAUUAACAGCCUUAUAGAUAUUAAAACUAAUCUAGUAGUUGAUUAGUUGUGUUAAAUUAGUAAAAGUUAUACUCUUUUAACACACAUUAAUAUCCAUUGUUAAAUACUUUUCAAUUGUUGUUCUUUCCUUUUUCCACACAGCAAACAACACCAACAACCCUGGCACUCCGGUUGACGACGACACCUCCUUUGCGUCCAACUAAAAUACACAAAAAUAGACAAAGAAAAGGAGAUGUCAAUCAACAUUACAUGAUAGGGAAUCAAUCACCAUAUUAUCUGACAGUCGGCGAUCACCCUAAAGCGCAAAUGGCCUUCGACAAGUUAAUAAGAGAAACUAGAAAGCAACUACUUCACUUGGGCAAAUGUGAUGAGCGCACCUUACCUGUCGAUCGGCCAGAAGCUUUGGAUCUUAAGUUGCAUUCUCCACUCCUUUUACUCGAUAGUGGUUGUUCGCUUAGAAUUUUAUGUC